UUUUUAGAUUAUUGCUGAUGUCUUUCCCUCACCUAAAAGCAAAGAUGCUUUCCGUCUCGCGUAAUGUCAUCGGGGAAGCAGUGCGCAAGGAAAUGCUGUGCUGUAGGACACCGUGCGCCUCGUCGAGCCGUGCGGCCCCCCCCACCCCGGUGCGACGAGCACGGAGGCUCCGCCAGCAGGAGGGCAGUAAAUGUGGCACCUUCACCAAAACCGGGUCAGGGAGGAGACGGGACCGCUGGUAUCGAUGGAGGGGGUUUUCCUUCGACUUCUGUUCCACGUCAGUGCGUUCUGGGGAAGCAAUUGCAGAGCUGCUGUUGAUAUAUAUGUGUUCGUAUGUAUAUGGAACGUUCUCUCUUCACUGAGCAAUGUGGCCAAGCAGGUCAGUGAAGUACGGUGUAUAGGGCUGCAGUUAUGUCGUUCCUGGGAAAGCCAGGAUUCCUGUUUGCAGAAGUCACGCAUGAACAUGAACACUGAUCUCCUCCUGUUCUUAAUUUUUAAUUUUGUAUUUUGUUUAGAUCUGUGUAUUUCACAAAUUAAAAAGGGCGAAGCCUGAGUGCCCACCAAGGCCGGGUGCGUGAGACUCACACCAUCAGCUGGUGGCUGCCGUAGCUGGGCCAAGGUGUCCAUACAUUCAUGCUCCGCAGAAGGCAUGCUGAGGCUCCGGGAGGCCUGGGAAGUGGCGGCUGGUCUCCUGUCUCUCUGGGUUUCCUGUCUCACACACCACCAGCCCUUCAUGAGCUUCCCCUAACUGGGACUUGACAAGCUCGGCUACCACGGUGGUGAUUGCAAGGUAAGAACCUCAGCAAAGUCCAUUUCAGUACUGCCGUUCCUCCAAGUCCAGUGGAUGGGUGCCAGUGAGGACAAAACUAAGCCCAUAUAACCAUACUCAGAGAAAACAUGCAGUAAGUGGACAUGUAAGGUCAUUUGCAGCUUGGUCAAAGGCUCUGGGUUUAAGUUGCUCUAUGGCAGGAGCUGAGGAGAUGUUUUGAAUGUACUGUGGACAGAGAGCUGUGUACAUCGGGCUAACUGUGUCCUUAGGUUUCCCAGAGCCUCACCUCUGCUGUCCUCUCCAAGGCUUCCUCCAUGAACUAACUGCACCUUGUGAGAACGCUUGAAAACAUGUCUGUCCUCAGCAGCCCCAGGAGAGCAACAUCUCAGGCCUUCCGAGCGCAGUACCCGGAGGGAAGGGCACAAGGAAUUGUCCCCAGCCGCGAACCAAGGCGAAAAUUUCCACCGUGCAGCUCUCCAGCGUUGAUGACCACGUCUCGGCAGGGCAGAGGAGCCGCGCGCGGGCAGGACCACGGCUCGCCCGCCCAGGGCAGGGGCCCGUGCCGGCUCUGCCGCAGGCGCCGCGGGGACGGGGCGGGAAACGGGCACGGGGAGGUGCACACGGAGAGAAACACUGUCUGCUCCCAAAUAAGCCAUUUGGACCACGUCAGGUUGGUUUUCCUGUUUACUGUCUACAUGGAAAAUAGGAAGAGAGUAAAAAAAGAAAAACCUCACCCCAGUCACUAUAAAAAGAGCCGUUGUGUGGGCACCCAGGAAUUAUACCUUUUUGUUUUUCUUGCUAAUCUAGUACAGCCUUGGUGGAGACCAGGUGCAUGGUCAGCAGGCAGUAAUGGCAGUAACGCCAAUAAAGAGGGAUGCUGGUAAUAGUAACUAACUCCCCUGCAGGAGCUAUUUCUUGCACAGAAAGCUGGGCUGGGACCUGUUCACCAACGGGCUGGUGAACGCCUGUGUCGGUGUUUCCCCAAGCGUGGGAGUCAUGGAGGAGCCACGCAGGGUUUGUGUCGGUGGUGUGCUGGGCCGCGGGGGACAUGAGACCCACACAUCAAUAUACCUGAGAUAUCAAGCAACAAAAGGCAGAAGGGAAGACGUUAUUUUAAUUUAGAUGAAAAGCAGCUUAGCUCUCAAGUGUAUGGGAAGCAUCCUGAGCUAAUGGCUUUGGCAGAGGCAGCAACCUUCUGGUACAGACUUAGUGUAGUUCCUACCGGCCUGUUGGCAGGAAGGUUUCCUUACCUCGAGUCAGGUUUGUUUCUAAAGACCCGCAAACUUAACCUACUGGUCUACUUUGCCUGUGGUGUACUACGGAGAGAGAUGCUGCAGGAGAGUAAUAUAGAGAUAUUGAAACGGGAGCCAGAGUUGAGCU